rnacentral:lncRNA from 1 species
AUACUAUAAUUCCACAUAAACGACUCUAACUAUGAUAAGCCUAUUAAAUAGGUAAAAAGGAAACCCUAACCCUAAAAGUCCAUGCACACGUUAUAGGCCUUUAGCCCAAACUAUUUGACAAGAAGAACUAAGAAUAAAUAACUGACUCACUUAAAAAGAAAAAGAGAAGAAAACAGAUGCCACGGUCUAUCAAUAGCCUCCCCCGGCACAACAGCCUUGUCCUCAAGGCUGAAGUAGGGACCGGUAAUUGGAUGCCUCAACAGGCGCAUGCUGGUGUAGUGCAUCGAACUCGGGCUCCCCCAAUUCAUCACACACAAGGACGUUCAACGUCUUAGGCGGGCAGCGGUGAAGGGGUCCGAAAGUCAGACCGCAACGGAAGCAUGUACCAGCGGCAAGAUGUUUUUGAAUCUCUGAUUGCGGCAAUUGGCGAAAGUUUUUGGCCUUGCUUAAAGGUAGUGAGGCGGCAGAAACCGUGGAGUCGGAAGAGUAGGUAGCUGUGGCUGUUGGUUG